UAAUCUAAGUUAAAGCACUUACGACCAGAAGUCGUUGUUUACCAUUGGAUUACUCGGGAGUAAAAAAUAAAUAUAUCUUCAUAUAUUAUUGUUGUAAUUCAUGUAUGGAAGUAGAAACAGGGGACAUUUUGGCGGCUAAAAAAUGGCGGCAAGAGAUAGAAGUACGCAGACGAUCUUUUACACAGGAGACAGAAAAUAACAAAGUUGAAAGGUUAUCUUGUAACUAUGCUGGUAUUUGAUUAAAUAGAAUGAAUCGAUUCUUAGAAGCUAUUGGUGGGAAUAAACUUAUUUAUAACUGAUAACUCUGACAAUAUAAUUUAACGAAAAUAUAUUUAACACUCCCUCGUGUCUUCCAAAAUAUUUCGUUCAUAUCCGGUUGCUUCAUGUACAUUUUUCUAUGUUUAAAUUAUACUACUUCUAUACUAUAUAUUAUAUCAUUCAUUAUCGAAAAGAAAUAUACAAACAAAGAAUACGAUAUACCACCGACGCUUCUUUUGUAUUACAAGAUUCUCUAAGAACUGUUUGGAGUAUUUUUUUCUGUUCUUGAUCAACGGAUUUAACAUCUAACAAUCGACUGUGAUAAAGCUGUGUUUUGACUUGUUUUCCAGACAUAUUUCAUAACAUUUUACAAGAUUUGUGAUAUACUGAUAUUGGUUUAAAUAAGAACAAAAUGAAUUAACAUUGCCUUUCCAGCACAAACAUACAUGAGAUAUAAAAAUCUGCCUUCGGUCAUCUUUUAAAAGCUGAGAGUUUUAACAACCACCAAACGAAUUGAUGGAUGAUGCCGAUCAUUAUUAUAUGUUACUAAAUCAAUGAAUGCAUUUUACUUGGUGGGUUUCCCAAUUCGGUUUCAAUACACUAAAGUCAACAUUUUCUUGAAUCUAAUUAUUUAUUACGUAAGGACAGCAAUAAACCUGAAAGGCCGAGAGAAACGUGAAAGAAGAAGAGGAGAUCAAAAGAAAGAAAUAUAUUCGGUGAAAUAGUGAAAGAACUCUCGACUGUCGAAACUAAAAUUAAUUUAAAUGUUUCAUAUCUGAAAAUCACGGAUGAAGUUUGAGGAAUAUCUUGAAUAUUCGAUAGGUGACAAACAAAAUCAAAUGUUUCAGAAUAUAACUCAUUGUUAAUUUAUUUUAUAUUUUCAUAGACAGAUAAAUAUUUAACAAGUUUACGUUUCUUCAAAAAUGAUGUUAUAUUUAGGAAGAAGGAAUAUUUUAAACUUUACCAAGAAUGUAAUAUAUUCAUCGAAUAAGUGUUUCCGUUCAUAACCGCAAUGUCACUACACUCGUCAGAUUAUGAAAUAUAUUCAGUAAAACUCGACAUGGAAGACAAAAGAGAUUUAAAUGAUACACCAUUAUUAUUCCUUGUGUCUGGAGAGAAAAAUGAAUAAUAAUUUCAUUCAACUUUUAAAAACAAAAAAGAAUUGUCAUUAAUCAUUAGACGUAUUAAAUCUUCUCAUUGUUCACGCAAUAAAUCCACCAUUAUUCUUAAUUAAAUAGAAGUCAAAAUUAAUCAGACCCUCGCUGAAACAUAUAUACAUAUA